rnacentral:rRNA from 1 species
UGGGGAAUAUUGCACAAUGGGCGCAAGCCUGAUGCAGCGACGCCGCGUGAGGGAUGACGGCCUUCGGGUUGUAAACCUCUUUCAGCAGGGACGAAGCGCGAGUGACGGUACCUGCAGAAGAAGCACCGGCCAACUACGUGCCAGCAGCCGCGGUAAUACGUAGGGUGCGAGCGUUGUCCGGAAUUACUGGGCGUAAAGAGCUCGUAGGCGGUUUGUCGCGUCGUCUGUGAAAUUCUGCAGCUUAACUGCAGGCGUGCAGGCGAUACGGGCAGACUUGAGUACUACAGGGGAGACUGGAAUUCCUGGUGUAGCGGUGAAAUGCGCAGAUAUCAGGAGGAACACCGGUGGCGAAGGCGGGUCUCUGGGUAGUAACUGACGCUGAGGAGCGAAAGCGUGGGUAGCGAACAGGAUUAGAUACCCUGGUAGUCCACGCCGUAAACGGUGGGUACUAGGUGUGGGUUCCAUUUCACGGGAUCCGUGCCGUAGCUAACGCAUUAAGUA